GUAGGUGGCAAGCGUUGUCCGGAAUUAUUGGGCGUAAAGCGCGCGCAGGCGGUUUUUUAAGUCUGAUGUGAAAGCCCACGGCUCAACCGUGGAGGGUCAUUGGAAACUGGAGAACUUGAGUACAGAAGAGGAAAGCGGAAUUCCACGUGUAGCGGUGAAAUGCGUAGAGAUGUGGAGGAACACCAGUGGCGAAGGCGGCUUUCUGGUCUGUAACUGACGCUGAGGCGCGAAAGCGUGGGGAGCAAACAGGGAUUAGAUACCCUGGUAGUCCACGCCGUAAACGAUGAGUGCUAAGUGUUAGGGGGGUUUCCGCCCCCUUAGUGCUGCAGCUAACGCAUUAAGCACUCCGCCUGGGGAUACGGCCGCAAGGCUG
rnacentral:rRNA from 1 species